AAGGUGAUGAAAAGCAACCGCACUUAAACAAUGGUAAGAGGAGCGAAGCGAGUCAAACCACCCAAAAGAAGCAGUGGGAUUAAGUGAUGGGGUGACUGCGUACCUUUUGUAUAAUGGGUCAGCGACUUAUAUUUUGUAGCGAGGUUAACCGAAUAGGGGAGCCGAAGGGAAACCGAGUCUUAACUGGGCGAGUAGUUGCAAGGUAUAGACCCGAAACCCGGUGAUCUAGCCAUGGGCAGGUUGAAGGUUGGGUAACACUAACUGGAGGACCGAACCGACUAAUGUUGAAAAAUUAGCGGAUGACUUGUGGCUGGGGGUGAAAGGCCAAUCAAACCGGGAGAUAGCUGGUUCUCCCCGAAAUCUAUUUAGGUAGAGCCUUGAGGUGACACCUUUGGGGGUAGAGCACUGUUUCGGCUAGGGGGCCAUCCCGGCUUACCAACCCGAUGCAAACUACGAAUACCAAAGAGUGAUACUCAGGAGACACACGGCGGGUGCUAACGUCCGUCGUGGAGAGGGAAACAACCCAGACCGCCAGCUAAGGUCCCCAAGUCUAUAUUAAGUGGGAAACGAAGUGGGAAGGCUUAGACAGCUAGGAUGUUGGCUUAGAAGCAGCCAUCAUUUAAAGAAAGCGUAAUAGCUCACUAGUCGAGUCGGCCUGCGCGGAAGAUGUAACGGGGCUGAAAUAUAGCACCGAAGCUGCGGCAUCAGGCGUAUCACUAAUACGCCUUACGAUUAACAAGCUAGAAUGGUGCGAAGCGACAUGAAAGGUUGUUCAAGCAACCCGAACGUUGAGUCGGGCAUCUUAGAGUGAGGAUUAUUAGUGAUACGCCUGUUGGGUAGGGGAGCGUUGUGUAAGCGGAAGAAGGUUCAUCGAGAGGUGGGCUGGACGUAUCACAAGUGCGAAUGCUGACAUAAGUAACGAUAAAACGGGUGAAAAACCCGUUCGCCGGAAGACCAAGGGUUCC
rnacentral:rRNA from 1 species